rnacentral:rRNA from 1 species
AGAGUUUGAUCCUGGCUCAGGACGAACGCUGGCGGCGUGCUUAACACAUGCAAGUCGAGCGGUAAGGCCUCUUCGGGGGUACACGAGCGGCGAACGGGUGAGUAACACGUGAGUAAUCUGCCCUUCACUCUGGGAUAAGCACUCGAAAGGGUGUCUAAUACCGGAUACGACACAGAUCUGCAUGGGUUCUGUGUGGAAACUUUUGUGGGUGGGGGAUGUGCUCGCGGCCUAUCAGCUUGUUGGUGGGGUAAUGGCCUACCAAGGCUUCGACGGGUAGCCGGCCUGAGAGGGUGACCGGCCACACUGGGACUGAGACACGGCCCAGGCUCCUACGGGAGGCAGCAGUGGGGAAUAUUGGACAAUGGGCGGAAGCCUGAUCCAGCAACGCCGCGUGAGGGAUGACGGCCUUCGGGUUGUAAACCUCUUUCAGUAUCGACGAAGCGCCCGUGUGGGUGGUGACGGUAGGUACAGAAGAAGCACCGGCCAACUACGUGCCAGCAGCCGCGGUAAUACGUAGGGUGCGAGCGUUGUCCGGAAUUAUUGGGCGUAAAGGGCUCGUAGGCGGUUUGUUGCGUCGGGAGUGAAAACACUGGGCUUAACCGAGUGCUUGCUUCCGAUACGGGCAGACUUGAGGCAUUGAGGGGAGAACGGAAUUCCUGGUGUAGCGGUGAAAUGCGCAGAUAUCAGGAGGAACACCGGUGGCGAAGGCGGUUCUCUGGCAAUGUUCUGACGUUGAGGAGCGAAAGUGUGGGGAGCGAACAGGAUUAGAUACCCUAGUAGUCC